AUCAAACUGAGAGUUUGAUCCUGGCUCAGGACGAACGCUGGCGGCAUGCCUAAUACAUGCAAGUCGAACGAUGAAGCACUCUGCUUGCAGAGUGCGGAAGAGUGGCGAACGGGUGAGUAACACGUGGGGAACCUGCCCAUAAGAGGGGGAUAACAUCCGGAAACGGAUGCUAAUACCGCAUAGGUGAUCAGAGCGCAUGCUUCGAUCAUUAAAGAUGGCUUCGGCUAUCGCUUAUGGAUGGCCCCGCGGCGUAUUAGCUAGUUGGUAAGGUAAUGGCUUACCAAGGCAGUGAUACGUAGCCGACCUGAGAGGGUGAUCGGCCACA
rnacentral:rRNA from 1 species